rnacentral:misc_RNA from 1 species
UCUCCGUUGGUGAACCAGCGGAGGGAUCAUUACCGAGUUUACAACUCCCAAACCCCUGUGAACAUACCAUUUGUUGCCUCGGCGGUGCCUGCUUCGGCAGCCCGCCAGAGGACCCAAACCCUUGAUUUUAUACAGUAUCUUCUGAGUAAAUGAAUAAAUAAAUCAAAACUUUCAACAACGGAUCUCUUGGUUCUG